rnacentral:rRNA from 1 species
CAAUAGCGUAUAUUAACGUUGUUGCAGUUAAAAAGCUCGUAGUUGGAUUUCUGGAGGGAGCGUCGGCCCGUAUUUACGAGUGCGUGACGUCUCUGUCCAUCCUUGCGGGAAGGCACGGCAUUGAUUUGUUGUGUCGGAUCGCAUCAUUUACUGUGAAAAAAUUAGAGUGUUCAAAGCAGGCUUUCGCUUGAAUACAUUAGCAUGGAAUAAUAAGAUAGGACUUUGGUGCUAUUUUGUUGGUUGAGCCUAAAGUAAUGAUUAAUAGGGAUAGUUGGGGGCACCUGUAUUGCGUUGUCAGAGAUGAAAUUCUUGGAUUUACGCAAGACAAACAGCUGCGAAANCGNNNGCCAAGGAUGUUUUCAUNAA